AUACUGAAUCAUGUUGGGGAAUCAAGGUGCAAUUCCAUGGCUCUACCAGGAACCGUAAAGUCGGAGUGCCAACCAGUAUAAGUCCGCUGUCGAGCGAGGGCCUGGGAAAGUCUAGUUCUACAAUGUAAAG
rnacentral:ncRNA from 1 species